AGUCGGACGGCAGCACAGAGAAGCUUGCUUCUUGGGUGGCGAGUGGCGAACGGGUGAGUAACAUAUCGGAACGUACCGAGUAGUGGGGGAUAACUGAUCGAAAGAUCAGCUAAUACCGCAUACGUCUUGAGAGGGAAAGCAGGGGACCUUCGGGCCUUGCGCUAUUCGAGCGGCCGAUAUCUGAUUAGCUAGUUGGUGGGGUAAAGGCCUACCAAGGCGACGAUCAGUAGCGGGUCUGAGAGGAUGAUCCGCCACACUGGGACUGAGACACGGCCCAGACUCCUACGGGAGGCAGCAGUGGGGAAUUUUGGACAAUGGGCGCAAGCCUGAUCCAGCCAUGCCGCGUGUCUGAAGAAGGCCUUCGGGUUGUAAAGGACUUUUGUCAGGGAAGAAAAGGCUGUUGCUAAUAUCAGCGGCUGAUGACGGUACCUGAAGAAUAAGCACCGGCUAA
rnacentral:rRNA from 1 species